GGAGCAGUAGCUCAGCUGGUUAGAGUACAGCCCUGUCAAGGCUGGGGUCGCGGGUUCGACUCCCGUCUGCUCCGCCA
rnacentral:tRNA from 1 species